UUUCCUUGGAAUUUAUCAGUUGUUCAAUUCGGCCAAGUUUUAGCGAUUGAUUGAUCAAACAGAAGAAGAGUGAGUGUAUACGAUUUUCUUUUAAGUUGCGGAAUGUCUUUUGGCGAGACUAGAACUAUAGCUCCAACCGAACCGAGUACGGAAGCUGCAAGAAGGAGACGCAUGGAAAUUCAUCAGUUUCGAUUUGUUGCCAGCGAUAUGGCGGUGGCUCCACCGAGUAGUAUGGAGAAUGGAAGGAAGAGAAAGAAAUUGGAGAAAACUGUGUCCGUAAAAAGCUAUGAUAGUAAAGAGAAGAAGCAAUUCAAGUUGGAAAGAAUUGUUUCCCUCCCACUUUCGCUGCCGUGCACUGAUGUGGGUGAAAAGAAGCUAGCAGAGAAUAAAGAAACCGAAACGAACGCUUUGGAUUUGACGGAAUCUGCAUCUGUAUCGUCGAAUAUUGAGCGCCAGGGAGUCUCCGACUGUCCGAAAUUCGGGAUGACAUCUGUAUGUGGAAGGAGAAGAGAUAUGGAA
rnacentral:misc_RNA from 1 species